rnacentral:rRNA from 1 species
CCUACGGGUGGCAGCAGUGGGGAAUAUUGCACAAUGGGGGAAACCCUGAUGCAGCAACGCCGCGUGAGUGAAGAAGUAUUUCGGUAUGUAAAGCUCUAUCAGCAGGGAAGAAGAAAGACGGUACCUGACUAAGAAGCCCCGGCUAACUACGUGCCAGCAGCCGCGGUAAUACGUAGGGGGCAAGCGUUAUCCGGAUUUACUGGGUGUAAAGGGAGCGUAGACGGCUGUGCAAGUCUGAAGUGAAAGCCCGUGGCUCAACCGCGGAACUGCUUUGGAAACUGUAUAGCUUGAGUACUGGAGAGGCAGGCGGAAUUCCUAGUGUAGCGGUGAAAUGCGUAGAUAUUAGGAGGAACACCGAUUGCGAAGGCAGCAUACCGGCGCUCAACUGACGCUCAUGCACGAAAGCGUGGGUAUCGAACAGGAUUAGAUACCCUGGUAGUC